AUUGAACGCUGGCGGCAGGCUUAACACAUGCAAGUCGAGCGGAGCGAGGGUGCUUGCACCUUAGCUUAGCGGCGGACGGGUGAGUAACGCUUAGGAAUCUGCCUAUUAGUGGGGGACAACAUUCCGAAAGGAAUGCUAAUACCGCAUACGCCCUACGGGGGAAAGCAGGGGAUCUUCGGACCUCGCGCUAAUAGAUGAGCCUAAGUCGGAUUAGCUAGUUGGUGGGGUAAAGGCCUACCAAGGCGACGAUCUGUAGCGGGUCUGAGAGGAUGAUCCGCCACACUGGGACUGAGACACGGCCCAGACUCCUACGGGAGGCAGCAGUGGGGAAUAUUGGACAAUGGGCGGAAGCCUGAUCCAGCCAUGCCGCGUGUGUGAAGAAGGCCUUUUGGUUGUAAAGCACUUUAAGCGAGGAGGAGGCUCUUAAGGUUAAUACCCUUGAUGAGUGGACGUUACUCGCAGAAUAAGCACCGGCUAACUCUGUGCCAGCCGCCGCAGUAACAC
rnacentral:rRNA from 1 species